AAUUGUUCGGUCAAGCUACUAAGAGCACAUGGUGGAUGCCUUGGCGUCAGAAGGCGAUGAAGGACGUGAUAAGCUGCGAUAAGCUGCGGAGAGCCGCAAAUAGGCCGAGACCCGCAGAUUUCCGAAUGGGGAAACCCGGCAGGGCUCAUACCCUGUCCGCCACGAGAUGAAUCCAUAGUUUCGUGGUAGCCAACGGGGGGAAGUGAAACAUCUCAGUACCCCCAGGAAGAGAAAGCAAUCGCGAUUCCCUCAGUAGCGGCGAGCGAACGGGGAACAGCCUAAACCGAGCGGCGCGUUCAAGCCUGCCAGCGUUGCGUCGCCGGUGUCGCGGGGCGAGCUUUGACUCUGGGCAGCAGAGUCGGGAAGUCAAAAACCAACAUGCUAGUCGAACAGCCUGGGAAGGCUGACCAUAGGCGGUGAAAGUCCGGUAGACGAAAGUGUGUUGGCUUCCUCGAGCUCGUUCCCAAGUACCGCGGGACACGUGAAAUCUUGCGGGAAUCCGGGGAGACCACUCUCCAAGGCUAAAUACUCUCUGACGACCGAUAGUGAACCAGUACCGUGAGGGAAAGGUGAAAAGGACUCCUGGCGGAGAGUGAAAUAGAACCUGAAACCAUGUGCUUACAAGCGGUCGGAGGCUUAACCGGGAUCUUCGGAUCCCGGAGCGGCUGACGGCGUGCCUUUUGCAUAAUGAUCCGGCGAGUUACUCGUGCGUGGCAAGGUUAAGCGUCUCAGACGCGGAGCCGAAGCGAAAGCGAGUCCGAAGUGGGCGACCAGUCGCGGUUCUCCCCGAAAUGGAUUUAGGUCUAGCCUCGCGUAAUUGUGUGGCGGGGGUAAAGCACUGAUUGGGCUAGGGACCCUACCAGGUUACCAAACCCUUUCAAACUCUGAAUACCGUUCACAUGUAUCGCGGGAGUAAGGGCGCGAGGGAUAAGCUUCGCGACCGAGAGGGGAACAACCCAGACCGUCAGCUAAGGUCCCAGAGUGUGAGCUAAGUGUAUAAGGAUGUGGGAUCUCACAGACAACCAGGAUGUUGGCUUAGAAGCAGCCAUCAUUUAAAGAGUGCGUAAUAGCUCACUGGUCAAGUAAUCCCGCGCCGAUAAUGUCCGGGACUAAAGUUCACCACCGAAGCUGCGGAUGCGCGGCGCUUUCGAGCGUCGUGCGUGGUAGGGGAGCGUUCUGUUGUAGGAUGAAGCCGAGCCGUAAGGCAAGGUCGACGAACCAGAAGUGAUUAUGCCGGAACGAGUAGCGAGAAACCAGGCGAGAAACCUGGUCACCGAAAACCUAAGGUUUCCUGAGGAAGGUUAAUCCGCUCAGGGUUAGUCGGACCCUUAGCCGAGGCCGAGAGGCGUAGGCGAUGGAAAACAGGUCAACAUUCCUGUACCAGUGCAUUGGCGAUCAAGACGCCAGGGGGUUACGCAGAAGUGAAAGACCAGCCCACCAUUGGACGUGUGGGUCUAAGCCAGUAGGAGGAUCCCGCAGGCAAAUCCGCGGGGUCAUUACUCCGAGAGGUGAUGGGGAAACGAGCCGAAAGGCGAGCCAACUGGUCCUAAUCAGGCUAGAAGGAACUCGGCAAAAUAGCCCCGUAACUUCGGAAGAAGGGGUACCUCUAGUAAGUGAAGCACUUCGCGUGUGGAGCUGAACGAGGCCGCAGUGAAUGGAGUCAAGCGACUGUUUACCAAAAACACAUGUCUCUGCUAAGCCGAAGAGGCGACGUAUAGGGACUGACACCUGCCCGGUGCCGGAAGGUUAAAGGGCGUGGUCAGGCGCAAGCCGAAGCCACAAACUGAAGCCCCGGUAAACGGCGGCCGUAACUAUAGACUCGGACCACUGUAGUUAAAAAAUCUGGCCAUAUGCUGGAACACCCGGUGGAUCCGGCGCUACUCGUCGCGCGAUCAGCGCGGCAGUGAAAAUGCGACCGGUGCGGGCAAUCAGCAGGAAAGGCUCGAACGACCAAAGACAGCGUUCGAGAAUCCUCAGAGACUACACGCCAGACGCGAUCUCUCGGAUCGCGAUGAUAUAGUCCGGUCUUCGUGGCGACACGAAGAGCGCGGCAGAAAUGUCCGCGCCCUCGAGAGAUUUCUCGAGGUAACAGAGACGAACGGUCCUAAGGUAGCGAAAUUCCUUGUCGGGUAGGCAAAACUGCCCGGAGUGCGAGCGAUCGCACUCAUCCAUCCGGCUCAAAUCGGUGGAGCCCUCACGAUGCCGUGCAGGCGUCGCGGGUCAUACCGAGGGUAAGAUCGCGGUCACGCGAUCCCCGUAACGACUCAGGGAGUGAGAUCCCUGGAUGGAGCACUCAGCUCCAUAAAACGCCGGCCCUGCCCUUCGCUAGAAAACACGCGAAUGGAAAAUUCCGAGAACGAUGCGCUCAGCUCGUUCUGGACAGGUGAACGUAUAGUCUAUGCCGCGAGUAAUCGCGGGCGAACAUGAAGUUCCGACCUGCACGAAUGGUGUAACGACUUGACUGCUGUCUCCUGCAAGAGCUCGGCGAAACUGUAGCAGCGGUGAAGAUGCCGCUUACCCGCGACUGGACAGAAAGACCCCGUGCACCUUUACUGUACCCUGGUAUUGGGUUUUGACACCGCAUGUGUAGGAUAGGUGGGAGGCUAUGAAGCGGGAGCGCUAGCUCUCGUGGAGCCAACCUUGAAAUACCACCCUUGUGAUGUCGGAAUUCUUGGUAAUCGCGCGUGGAGUGCAUUGGCAUAAGGGAGCUUGACUGCGAGACCUACAAGUCGAGCAGGUGCGAAAGCAGGCCAAAGUGAUCCGGUGGUUCUGUGUGGAAGGGCCAUCGCUCAACGGAUAAAAGGUACGCCGGGGAUAACAGGCUGAUCCCGCCCGAGAGUUCACAUCGACGGCGGGGUUUGGCACCUCGAUGUCGGCUCAUCGCAUCCUGGGGCUGGAGAAGGUCCCAAGGGUUCGGCUGUUCGCCGAUUAAAGCGGUACGUGAGCUGGGUUCAGAACGUCGUGAGACAGUUCGGUCCCUAUCCAUCGCGGGCGCAGGAUAUUUGAGGGGAGCUGACCUUAGUACGAGAGGACCGGGUCGGACGGACCUCUAGUGUACCGGUUAUCGUGCCAACGGUAUUGCCGGGUAGCUAUGUCCGGAUGAGAUAAGCGCUGAAAGCAUCUAAGCGCGAAACUCGCCCCAAGAUUAGAUAUCCCCCAGCAUAAGCUGGCUAAAGGACCCUCGGAGAUGACGAGGUUGAUAGGCCGGAGGUGUAAGCGCGGUGACGCGUUCAGCCGACCGGUACUAAUCGUCCGUGAGGCUUGAUCG
rnacentral:rRNA from 1 species